rnacentral:lncRNA from 1 species
GAUACCAAGUUCAAUUUUAACGAAGCUCUUUUAGUUCCAAGAAACAGACACAGCCAGACCAGUCUGAAAAUUUUUAUUUUCUGAAAAAUGUAACUUGUAAGAACACACGUAGAGCAAAAGGGAGAAACUUGGAAAUUUUUACGCAAGUAAGCCAGGCUGAACCUCCUAAUGCAUGAGGACUGGGCUGGUCCUUGUUUCACAGGGUGGACUCUAGAGUCGUCCUUGCAUCCCAGAAUUUGAGACCUAAUCCAUGAUUAAUCUUGAAACUGCUCCAGUGUGUUUGAGAGAACAGGCAUUCUCUAACUGACGCAAAGUUGUAUAAAACACCUAAGUAAAACCAUUCUUGAAAGGACACAUGAACAAAUUGAACCAGUCAGAGGGGAAAGAUCAGGAUGAUGAAGUGACUCAGAAAUCAGAUUAUUCUCUGAAGGACAUACUUAAAACUAAAAGAUGUUGGAUCUCCAAUAUGAAUUUGUGGGAUGUCUGGACACAGACAGAUACACAGGAAGAACAUCACAUAAACAAGAAGACAGAGAUUGGGGUAAUGUUUCUACAAGUCAAGGAUUAACAAAGAUUGCCUGCAAACCACAGAAACCAGGAAAGAGGCCUCAAAGAGAUUCUCACUCACACCCUCAGGAGGAACCAACCUUGCUGACCUUAA